AAAACUGCCUAACCCACCAAAUCAUUUUUUCUUCUCAAAAAUAUUAUUGGUUUUUUUCACGAAUAAAUUGAUUAAUGUUUUUGUUCUCAUAGGGGCAUAAAUUUCUCCAAGUAUCUAUCAAGGUUUUAGUAGAUGAUCUCAGUUUUUACGAUUAGAAGAAUAUGUUAUUUGAUCUUCAAUUUCAGAUUUACAUUUUUAUGCCGCGAUUUUUAUUUUCCAGGGUUUCCUCCCAGAAAAAUCAGAUUGUGAAGAACAAUGCUGGUGCAUACACUGGUCCUAAAACCAAAGGAUGGGUACCAGUCUGCACUUCUUGCGUUUGGCUACAGUUAUCAAGAAAUUAAAGCUUGCAGAUUGCAUUUCUCAUUUUGGCGUUCCAAAUUUCCAACAUCCACUAUGGAAGUUAAAACUUACCGAUUAUCAUUAAAGGCCUGAAAAACAAGUAUAAACAUUUACUCCCUCCGUAUCUAUAAUACGUGCAGAAUUUUCAUUUUUCCUUGUACAACUACUAGAAUAUGAUCUGUGCCGUAACGGUCCGGAAUUGUGUUGGUGUUACUGCAAAAUGAGACAUUGUUAACUUA